AGAGUUUGAUCAUGGCUCAGGACGAACGCUGGCGGCGUGCUUAACACAUGCAAGUCGAACGGUGAAGCUCCAAGCUUGCUUGGGGUGGAUCAGUGGCGAACGGGUGAGUAACACGUGAGCAACCUGCCCCGGACUCUGGAAUAAGCGCUGGAAACGGCGUCUAAUACUGGAUAUGACAUCAAGCCGCAUGGUUAUGGUGUGGAAAGUUUUUCGGUCCGGGAUGGGCUCGCGGCCUAUCAGCUUGUUGGUGAGGUAAUGGCUCACCAAGGCGACGACGGGUAGCCGGCCUGAGAGGGCGACCGGCCACACUGGGACUGAGACACGGCCCAGACUCCUACGGGAGGCAGCAGUGGGGAAUAUUGCACAAUGGGCGAAAGCCUGAUGCAGCGACGCCGCGUGAGGGAUGACGGCCUUCGGGUUGUAAACCUCUUUCAGCAGGGAAGAAGCGAAAGUGACGGUACCUGCAGAAGAAGCACCGGCUAACUACGUGCCAGCAGCCGCGGUAAUACGUAGGGUGCGAGCGUUGUCCGGAAUUAUUGGGCGUAAAGAGCUUGUAGGCGGUUUGUCGCGUCUGCUGUGAAAAUCCGGGGCUCAACCCCGGACUUGCAGUGGGUACGGGCAGACUAGAGUGUGGUAGGGGAGACUGGAAUUCCUGGUGUAGCGGUGAAAUGCGCAGAUAUCAGGAGGAACACCGAUGGCGAAGGCAGGU
rnacentral:rRNA from 1 species